rnacentral:rRNA from 1 species
CCUACGUGUGGCAGCAGUGGGGAAUAUUGCACAAUGGGGGCAACCCUGAUGCAGCGACGCAGCGUGAGUGAAGAAGUAAUUCGUUGUGUAAAGCUCUAUCAGCAGGGAAGAAAAUGACGGUACCUGAGUAAGAAGCCCCGGCUAAAUACGGUCCAGCAGCCGCGGUAAUACGUAGGGGGCAAGCGUUAUCCGGAUUUACUGGGUGUAAAGGGAGCGUAGACGGCAGUGCAAGUCUGGAGUGAAAGGCGUGGGCUCAACCCUCGGACUGCUCUGGAAACUGUAAGGCUGGAGUGCAGGAGUGGUAAGCGGAAUUCCUAGUGUAGCGGUGAAAUGCGUAGAUAUGAGGAGGAACACCAGUGGCGAAGGCGGCUUACUGGACUGUAACUGACGUUGAGGCUCGAAAGCGUGGGGAGCAAACAGGAUUAGAUACCCUGGUAGUC